AACUGAACAGGGAAAAGCUCAGCGCAGAACCUCCCGGGCCCAACAGCCUGCGGCGGAAUGUUGCGUCAAGGGAGAGGUCGUAACGAGACCCCACAGCCGCGCGAUCGCCAAGUCCUGCCACGAGUGGCGUUCCCGACGAAAGGAGGGAUUGUGGCGCCGUGGAGGGUGACAGUCCCGUGCGGACGCGUGCGACCGCUGUGCGAGGGUGAGGCCGUUUUUCCCCGAGAGUCGCGUUGCUUGCACGUGCAGCGCCAAGCAGGUCGUAAACUCGAUCUAAGGCUAAAUACAUCCACAAAACCGAUAGUGAACAAGUACCGUAAGGGAAAGUUGAAAAGAACUCUGGAGAGAGAGUCAAAAGACCGUGAAACCGCUCAGAGUACAAGCCCAUGGCGCUAGAAGGCAGCCGGUGGCAUGACGGCACAGGCUUCGGCAGGUGUCGUCCGAAAUGCCUGAGAACUGCGUAGCCGGAUGUGCGAGCACUCGCUCGCGCAUCCGUCAGCCGUGCCUGCGCACGGACGAGCACUGGCAGUGCCGUUCCCCUGCCAGGUACGUUGCUGGACGAGUCUUUCGAGGCAUCACACGGUCACUGCCCACCACAGCUCGUUGCUUGGUCACCCGCUGGGCCUGAGAGUGCAGAAGUUUCAUCCGGGGUCAGGGCUCCAAAGUGCUCGAACGGGCGGGGGAGUGUGCUGCCGACAACUCCCGCUCGCGCAGUGCUCGCGACAUCCCGGCUCUGACUGCAGACGCAGGCGUGGUGUGAUCCAUUCGGCGACGACGCUGCAUUUGGCCAGACACGAGCAGCCCUCUGCUCCGUCGCCCAGUGCCGGGCGCGGAGCACCCGCGGGCAGGCUGCCUGCGUCGCAUGGCAUGCAAACGCUCAGCCUGAGGGCCUUGUCUGACUGGUGAUGAUCUCUAGCGACCAUCGGUCACGUCUCGAAACACGGGCCAAGGAGUAUAGCAUGUGUGCGAGUCUGAGGGUCUCUCGAAACCCGAGGGCGAAGUGAAAGCGAAGGUGUGGCGGUGCUUGCGCCGCCAGCCGUCUUCCGAUGGCUGCGAAUGCCGAGCUGAUCCUGCACCCGAAGCUGGGGGCAGGCGCAAGCUCCGGGCUCACUCUGCUGUUCGGCACACUGCCUCCUCGCGGGGCUGUGGGCUGGACCGUGAGCACCGCGGAGCAUGCAUGCUAUGACCCGAAAGAUAGUGAACUAUGCCUGGCGAGGGUGAAGCCCCAGGAAACUGGGGUGGAGGCCCGUAGCCGUUGUGACGUGCAAAUCCAUGGCGUCAGUUGGGCAUAGGGGCGAAAGACCAAUCGAACUAUCUAGUAGCUGGUUCCCUCCGAA
rnacentral:rRNA from 1 species